UGCAGUCGAGGGGUAGCAGUUCUCUAGCAAUAGAGAAGCUGACGACCGGCGCACGGGUGAGUAACACGUAUCCAACCUGCCUUAUACACGGGGAUAGCCUUUCGAAAGAAAGAUUAAUAUCCGAUGGCAUCAUUUUUCCUCAUGGAUGAAUGAUUAAAGAAUUUCGGUAUAAGAUGGGGAUGCGUUCCAUUAGAUUGUUGGCGGGGUAACGGCCCACCAAGUCCACGAUGGAUAGGGGUUCUGAGAGGAAGGUCCCCCACAUUGGAACUGAGACACGGUCCAAACUCCUACGGGAGGCAGCAGUGAGGAAUAUUGGUCAAUGGGCGCGAGCCUGAACCAGCCAAGUAGCGUGAGGGAUGAAGGCUCUAUGGGUCGUAAACCUCUUUUAUAUGGGAAUAAAGUGGAGUAUGUAUACUCUUUUGUAUGUACCAUAUGAAUAAGGAUCGGCUAACUCCGUGCCAGCAGCCGCGGUAAUACGGAGGAUCCGAGCGUUAUCCGGAUUUAUUGGGUUUAAAGGGAGCGUAGGUGGAUAUAUAAGUCAGUUGUGAAAGUUUGCGGCUCAACCGUAAAAUUGCAAUUGAUACUGUAUAUCUUGAGUACAGUAGAGGUGGGCGGAAUUCGUGGUGUAGCGGUGAAAUGCUUAGAUAUCACGAAGAACUCCAAUUGCGAAGGCAGCUCACUAGACUGGUCACUGACACUGAUGCUCGAAAGUGUGGGUAUCAAACA
rnacentral:rRNA from 1 species